rnacentral:misc_RNA from 1 species
UCCGGUUUGUCACCGGCAGUCUCAUUAGAGUGCCCAACUAAAUGUAGCAACUAAUGACAAGGGUUGCGCUCGUUGCGGGACUUAACCCAACAUCUCACGACACGAGCUGACGACAGCCAUGCAGCACCUGUGUAUCGGCUCUCUUUCGAGCACCCCCACCUUUCAGCAGGGUUCCGACCAUGUCAAGGGUAGGUAAGGUUUUUCGCGUUGCAUCGAAUUAAUCCACAUCAUCCACCGCUUGUGCGGGUCCCCGUCAAUUCCUUUGAGUUUUAAUCUUGCGACCGUACUCCCCAGGCGGUCAACUUCACGCGUUAGCUGCGUUACCAAGUCAAUAAAGACCCGACAACUAGUUGACAUCGUUUAGGGCGUGGACUAC